CAGCCCCGCGGUAAUACGUAGGGUGCGAGCGUUAAUCGGAAUUACUGGGCGUAAAGCGUGCGCAGGCGGUUUCGUAAGACAGGCGUGAAAUCCCCGGGCUCAACCAGGGAAUGGCGCUUGUGACUGCAAAGCUAGAGUGCGGCAGAGGGGGAUGGAAUUCCGCGUGUAGCAGUGAAAUGCGUAGAUAUGCGGAGGAACACCGAUGGCGAAGGCAAUCCCCUGGGCCUGCACUGACGCUCAUGCACGAAAGCGUGGGGAGCAAACAGGAUUAGAUACCCCAGUAGUCCCUGUCUCUUAUACA
rnacentral:rRNA from 1 species